GUGCUUACUUUAGCAGCACAGCACAUAUACUAAAAUUAGAACAAUAAACAAAGAUUAGCAUGGUCCUUGCACAGGAUGAUACACAAAUUUGUGAAGUGUUCCAUAUUUUU
ensembl:snRNA U6 U6 spliceosomal RNA